rnacentral:rRNA from 1 species
AGAGUUUGAUCCUGGCUCAGGAUAAACGCUGGCGGCGUGCCUUAUGCAUGCAAGUCGAACGAUUCUUCCCGCAAGGGAAGGAUAGUGGCAAACGGGUGAGUAAUACGUAAGUGACCUGCCCCUAAGUAAGGAAUAACUCUGAGAAAUCGGAGCUAAUACUUUAUGUGAUGGUGGAAGUAGUGUUUCAUCAUUAAAGCCUUCGGGUGCUUAGGGAGGGGCUUGCGUCCGAUUAGCUAGUUGGUGGGGUAAUGGCCUACCAAGGCGAUGAUCGGUAGCUGGUCUGAGAGGAUGAUCAGCCACACUGGGACUGAGACACGGCCCAGACUCCUACGGGAGGCAGCAGCAAGGAAUAUUGCGCAAUGGGCGAAAGCCUGACGCAGCGACGCCGCGUGGGGGAUGAAGGCCUUCGGGUUGUAAACCCCUUUUCUCAGGGAGGAAUAAUGACAGUACCUGAGGAAUAAGCCAUGGCCAACUACGUGCCAGCAGCUGCGGUAAUACGUAGGUGGCGAGCGUUAUCCGGAUUUACUGGGCGUAAAGAGGGCGCAGGCGGCUUUGCAAGUCGGGUGUAAAAUCUCUCGGCUUAACCGAGAGGGAUCAUCCGAUACUGCUGAGCUAGAGGGCAACAGGGGGAGGUAGAAUUCCCGGUGUAGUGGUGAAAUGCGUAGAUAUCGGGAGGAAUACCAGUGGCGAAGGCGGCCUCCCAGGUUGUUUCUGACGCUGAUGCCCGAAAGUGUGGGGAGCAAACAGGAUUAGAUACCCUGGUAGUCC